GUACUGAUGAAGAGUCUCAAACUAGGACGAAACAACCGUCCAGUAC
rnacentral:hammerhead_ribozyme from 1 species